UCCAAAACAAACCACCAGAUGGCGCAUCGGACAGCACAUAGUUAAAUGUGAAGUUGACAACGAGUGAGGUUAGAUGUCAAGUUGUUCGAAGAAAAUAAUUACAACGUUUAUUAGUUACGAAAAAAGAAAGUACAACGAAUAUUAAUGAUUGAUUAAAAGAAAAAACAAGUACGUAAAAACAAACGAAGCAAUUGAGUUUUCCCCAAGAUUACGGAUUUCUUCUUCAAGGUAAAAAUUAUUUAUCUUAAUAAGUGGUCUACAGGUAAUUAAAGUUCUUGUUUUGAAGAAAAAGUGUGUCAUGGCAAAAAUGAAAAGGAAUCAUUUAAUAUACUAUUUAAUCUAAUUGAUGUUAAUAUUAUUCUAAAACUUAAUUUACGUUUAAGAAUUAUAUAAGACGUUCUCACGUUUAGAAAUUUCACAGUGAAAAGGUAAGAAAAGCUUGUCCUAAGUUUGGAUACCAAAAAGGGAUGCUUAUUCUUCUCUUUGCUAACAAUAAGAAGAGAGAGAGAGAGAGAGAAUGAAAAUAGGGGGGAUGAAGAAGAAGAAGAACGAGAAAGUUAGAUCAAUAUGGUGUGUCUGUGUGUUUGCUGAUAAAUGCAUUCUACUACCUCUUGCAAUGUUCCUAAUGGAAAAUUCAAAAGUUCUCUUCUAUCGACACAGUAUAAUACACGUCAAAGAUGAAUCUAUGAUAAAAAGAAAAAUGUUUCUUAAAAAGGAAGACACACCACCCAGCAUUAAACUUAAUCUUCCUUUAUUACUAUCUGGAAGAAUUUAAUAAAUGAAGAUACACACACACAAACAGCUUUCGUUGGUAAAGAAGAAAACAAAAAAAAUGUCUCAAAUAAGUUCACAACAGAAA
rnacentral:lncRNA from 1 species